UCUACCUAAAGAACUGCUUGCUAGUGCCUAUGUCCUUAGACCAACAUGGUUACAACCAACAACCCAGCAACAACGUUGGUAAAAGCUUUUUGAAUUGCAAAUUAAGUUUUUAAUUACGUGAAUGAAAUUAAGCAUCCGAGCAGUACAGUAACUCAUAACUGCUCUGACAGUUAUGCUUUUCAACAUGCCACAGAGAAUGGUGCUGUCAAAACAAAAUAGAAGCUGUUUAACAGAUGAAUGGCAGGAAGCUGAUUAUUGGUACUAGGGAAGGUGGGCAGUAUCUUUUGGGACUGUCAAAUAAGCACACUUGUUUUCACUAAAAUUAUAGGUGUUGAAAUAGUUAACACUGUUGUUACUUAAACUGUAAUACUUAGGCUUUAGAAUUAAGGCUACAUUGAGGUAAGUCUGGAAUUGUUCACUUCUUUCUGUUGUAAUUCAUUUUUACACUGAGUACUCCAAAUAAUAACCAAAUCUGGCCUGGACCUGGUAUUUCAGACUCCCCUGCAGACCCAGAGAUACAAGUCGCAUGGUUUUACACGUGGCUCUCAUUUUCCAAGUGCGUCUUCACUACAUUGAGGGCUGGAGAUAUAUAUGUGUGUAUAUGUGUGUGUGUAUGUAUAAAAUGCAAACUUAUACCCCAGAAUGCUAUACAGGGAGGGGAAGAUUCUGCAGAAGAUUCAAUGGCUGUGAAACUGCAGACUACAUGGGGCACUAGAUAUACAUUCCCAUCACAUUUACACCUUAAAUAUUAAAAAGUUUUCAUUGUAGGGCAAAUAUUGUUGAGUAACAGCAUGAAGAAAACCUUGCGUGGAGAAAGAAAUGUUACCUGAGCAGGUUCCAGGACCUAUCUUAUCAAUGUUGAGAGUGUUAGAGUCCUCAGAUUAAAUGUAAAUGUAACUUAAAUGUAACCUUCUUGGCUUCUUUGACCUGUUUCAGCAGAGACCUAUAGAAAGGUAAAAGGUAAGUGAUGCAUUGCCGAAUGACAUCACUUGUGCCAUUGUAGCAUGCAAAAUGUGUGUAAGAUGUUCCUAGUGAGGUUCCAGGCAGUUUCUACCUUGCUUUUACACUGAAAUGCAGCAUAUAUUCUUUUUGUGUGCUCAUGCAUGGGCAGGCAGACUUACAGACCCUGUUCACAUGGAAGUGUAAGGUCUGCUUCCUUCCUGGUCACUUACGGGGCAGGAAGGACUUUCUUUUUGCACAGGCCUGAGCAACCAUUAACUGUAGAGGGACGUAGUGGUGGACAUGAUACCACUGUGAACAUAUGGAGGUCUUGGAGGCAUUCUGCUGGAGGCUCUGAGUUUGUUGCUAAGGGCAGUUUUGCCUAUCUUCAGGAGCACCUUAGCCCCAGGGGAACUUGGUGAGGGUGUUGCAAGAAGUAUAUGAUCAGGGAAAUGUAAAUAAAGCAUCCUCCAUAGGUUAACAAGGUGUAUAAAAUAGUUGCACUAGUGCUUUAGUUUACCCAGCACUUGAAUGAACAUAUUUAGCCUAAAACUAAAAAAGAAUAAUUAUAAAAAUCACAGAAAAAUAGGGCUGGAAGGUUAUUUAGUUCAACCCUCUGCAAGUUUAUCCCUGCUUAAACCAUCCCAGACAAGUUUUGUCCAAUCUGUGUUGUAAGCUUCCAAGGACAGAGAUUCAUCUAAGAAACCUAUUGCAGAACUUAACUGCCCUUGAAGUUAGAAAGAUUUUUUUUAUAUCCAACCUAACUCUCCCUUAUUGCAAUUUAAGUCAUGUCAUUUGUGGACAUAGAGAACAGUUUAUCAUCCUUCAUUUUCUAAUGACUUUUUUAUAUCUGAACAUAAGGUAAGGGACAAAAUGUUGAUGCUGACAUUUCUGAUACACUGGUGCACCCUGAAUGUCAGAAGUUAUGAUACUUAACAUUUUUCACACAGCUUUCUUGGUUUUUCCUUUGAAGAAUUUUAGGGCCAGAAAUGAACUCCUUUCAUGUAUGUGACCUCUUCUAUAAUGGGGACCAUAGGAUUAUGUGCCAAGGCUUCCUAAAUCCAAUUCCUUCUGCUAAAUAGCAGGUAAAAUGUGUACUCCAUCCCUCACAUUGUCUUUGUUGAAGGUCUAGUUAACAUGUUCUUGUUACAUUCUUUGUUUCCUUUACGUAUUUUGCUCAUGUUGGUGAUGAAAACUGAAGAAGGCAGUAUCCUUUUUGUUUACAAUCAGUUUAAUAGUUAGGGUUCUACUGAUAUGUUAUUUUGGUACAUUGCUUCAUACAGGAAUCGUGAUCAUCAUCAUUAGCAAUCCUUCUCAGUUGAGGAUGAAUAUCUUUCAUGACUGCCGUAUCUGUGGGUCUGAAGAUGGUUGGUGAGGUUGAUACAGGAUCAACAAACUCUGUCACAACUUGGGCAUGCAUAUCUGUGCAGGGUUCCUGUUACAACAUGGAUGAAGUUGCUCAGUCACUCCAGAUAUGUCCACACUGGGGCAGCAGAGAGAUCAUUUGCAUCUGAAGGACUAAGACAUGAACAUCUGCUCCUGCUCCAUCUGCUAAAACCCCUGGAAAUGACUUGGUGAGGAUGUUCUGGGUUCCCCUCCUCACAGUGCCUAAAACUUGUGUUUCCAGCAUACUUUGGACUGUUGGCUUUUACAGCAUUGUUGCUGCCUUCUUUCUUGGUUUGAUGUGUGUAGCACAGUGGAAAUGGGUAAGGGGGUUAUUUCCUGGCAGUGUGACUGAGCUCUCUGCUGCUGUGGUGGACAUAUGUCCUCAGUUAAGUUAACUUUUUUGCUUUUCUCUCCAUUUAUAAAAUGG